UGGGGGAGGGGGACGCCAGCGUAAAAGGUGCUUACGUACUCGUAACUGUCUGCUCUGCUCCUUAGAUCCCAAACCAAAAGCAAAGCAAAGCAAAGCAAACCCUAGCCGCCCCCAGCCAGGGUUAGGGUUCUUCUUGUGAACCGUCUGCCGUCUUCCAAGCGGAGAUCCACCAUCGGUUCCGCAAGCGGAGAUGAAGCGGAGAUCCACCAUCGGUUCCGCAAGCGAAGAUGAAGCGGAGAUCCGCCAUGGCUCUGUAGAGAUCCUGUUCGAACCGGCGUGCAAGUGGAACCGAUGUGGAUCUCUGGUGCACGCGAGGAAAUCCGUCUCUCGCGGCCUGCACGCACCCAUGUCCGGUGAAAGCAGCAGGCCGCCGGUGCGGGGAAGAUUCAUUAAAGGGUCUCUUGUUCAGAACAAAGAAGAAGAGGAACCAAACAAUCAUUCCCUGAUGCACUGUUGAAUGUACCAAUAUCUCCUAAGUGGUAUUUCAUUUUACUUUGUUAUUAAUUGAUUACAUUUCUUAGUCCCAUAAUGCUUUCCAGUCUAUGAAGUGGACGGUGAUAAACUAGGUCUGUAGGAUCCUGUGUUCGGUCAAUACAUGAUGUGUCUAAUAAGUAGCUUCAAUGUCGAAUGAAAAACAUAACAAUUUCCCUUUUCAUUCAAUGCAAUGCUCUAAGAACAGAGUUAUAAGCCGCAUCCCUUUAAUACUUCAGUCCUCGAAAGCCCACUAUAGAGACUACUCCCUCUGUUCCAAAAUAACUGAAAUUCAAGAUUUGUACCUGUGUCAAACUUCUUUGAGUUGAAGCGAAAUUAUAAAGAGGAUGUUUCCUAUGAAA